rnacentral:tRNA from 1 species
CUAAAGAAAGCAUUUUAGAUGUUUUUCAUUUACAUUGAGAAUAAGGAUAUUUUCCUCUUUUGA